rnacentral:lncRNA from 1 species
CGAGGUCGUAUGGCUGGGCUCGCGCUCGUGCUCCUUGCUCGCGUAUAAUGGAGUUUCUGUGCCUCGUACAUGCUCUUUGGCAGAACGUGAUCCUCCGGAAGCAGGCUGCCAAUAACUGUCAACAAACCAUCGAAUGCGUCUCGACUCAUGCUAUACUGCGACUUGAACGCCAUUAUACGCCCAAUGGCAUCCAGUUGAGAAACCUUUGUCUUGCCGUGAAGGGGUUUCUGUGCCGCGUCAAACAUGUCGUAGAAUGUCUUUGCGGUCGCCUCUGGCUCGUCCUCCGUACGUCCUUCGGCGAACUGUGCCUCGUGAUAGUCGUUCAACAUGUCUCCUACCCCGGCAUCAGCAUCGUAAUCCUCGACGCGUUGUCUCACCACCUCCUCUCUCGUGCGAUGCGCUUCACCAUGGAAGAUCCACCGAGUAUAGUCCGGCGUAAAUCCAUUCUUCCAAAUAUGUUCUACCAUGACCUUCUUUGGUUUUCUUUUCCGGUUGUCACAUUUGCUACACGGACAAGGGACUAGGCUAGCUCCUUUAGCAGCUUCGCCAUAUGCCCGUUCCACGAAAGCAUCGGUCUUCCUAAUCCAUUCUGGGGUGACAUCAUUACGUCGAACGCGGCCCGUGUACAUCCACUCACGGUCCUCCAUCCUCUAACAUAUAUAACCGAGUAUAGUUUAAUAUAGACAUGUAAUGCAUGUACACUACGUUCCUACCUUCUAAUAGGUGAGGAUAGGUCCUAAUCCCACCCGCGGUUGCGUAGAUGGAGUUAGUUUCCAUGCUCUACUCCGAUCCGAGAUAGAAUUUCGGCAGCACCUCCCCGCUGUUCUCCGGAUACACGUCCUGGCAGAGAGAGUGUACUGUCCGGAGAACAACAGGGAGGUGACGCCGAAACUCUUUCUCGGACCGGAGUAGAGCAUGGAAACUAACACCAUCUACGCAACCGCAGGCUGUCCAAAAAAUGUGGACAAUUCGAAACUGAUACAUUUGUAGAUAUGCAAAGAUCUGCAUAUCUACACCGUAUCUCUUUCGAACGGGAGACGCCUAACUGGGUUACGUGAUCUACGACCAUGAUGCGGAAAUAGAGGUUAUACCUAGGGUGGCGGUGGAGUCAGGCUAGUGGGGCUGUGGCGGGUCGGUGCAGUGGCGACGCGACGCGGUGCAGGCAGACCCGCAGCGGCUAGGAAGACCUCUGCAAAAAAUACAUGCCUGUCAACAAAAAGAGUUAUGUGUAAAUGUGCACAUGUGCACUAAAGUUUUACAAAGGAAAACUUUAGACCUCUACCAUAAAAGUUUUACAAAGGAAAACUUUAGAUGUGCACUAAACUUUAGACCUCUGUCAACAAAAGGAAAACUUUCUAAACCUACUUGGCCUCUAAUAUGUGUAAAUGUGCACUAAAGUUUUACAAAGGAAAACUUUAGACCUCUACCAUAAAAGAGUUAUGCAGCGUAGUUUCCAAUCAUAUAUAUAUAUAUACACACUAGCAUAACAAGUUAAAUUACAAAUGUAAGCAUGUAACCUACAAAAGCAUCAAUGAGAUAGAAAUGAUGUAGACCCACAUCGAGGACGACGAUUUUAAUCGAGGUAUCGAGAAGCUCAUGGUUUUUCCUAAUCUUCAUUGGAGCCCCUAGCAAGGAUGCCCAUGCGAGGGACAAGCUCUCGACCAAGUAGCUCUAUUGAUAGCCCACAUUCCUUCCCUAUGCGCAAGUGAGUCUUCAUGGUAGUCUUCUUUCGGAUCUCUUUCCAUUAUCUUUAUUAUCAUGUAUUUGACCAAUACGUUGUUGGUCACACAUUUCAUUUUGUACACGCUCAAUGACCUCACCACAUUUCAUAGGAUCUUAUAGGACUACAAGCCCUAGUGUACAAGCAAUGGUACAUGGAAGCACUAGGUGGCAAGGGUAUGGAAAUCUCACUAAGCAGCAGGCCUAAACUUAGGGCAAGUGCUAAAUAGUUGUGAGGAUCUAGAUGGCUAGAGAACUACUUCUACAAAGUUACACAAGCAACAAGCACAACACAAGUACUAAUAAAAAUGUUACAUACACUCACUAGGGCGCGGGCGGACGGGCGGGCGCCGGCGAGGGCGCGGGCGCCGGCGAGGGAGGCCGCGGCGAGGGCGGCCGCGGCGGGCGCGGGCGUGGGCGGACGCGGCCGGCGACGGCAUGGCGGGCGGCGAGCCGGCGAUGGCGCGGAGCGGCGGCGGGCGCGCAGGGAGGCGGCGGUGGGCGCGAUAGAGAGGAGACAGCGAGAGCAGAGAAAUGAGGAGGAAGAAAGCCGCGGGCGAGUAUAUUCGCCUUCUUUGCCGAGUGCCCGUGAUCUGGCACUCGGCAAAGUUUUUUAAAUUUUUAAAAUAAACUUUGCCGAGCGCCAGAUCGGUGGCACUCGGCAAAGGAUCCUUUGCCGAGUGUCUAUCAUCCGACACUCGGCAAAGAUUAACUUACACAUCUUUGCCGAGUGCCACCCUAGGGGCACUCGGCAAAGAAGUCUUUGCCGAGUGUCUUCUUUGGACACUCGGCAAAGUACAUUUUUAUUUUUUUUUAUUUUGCCAACCAAAAUUUUUGUGGUAUGUUCCUACACUAUAUAGACCUACAUGUACUAUUUUGGGACAAUUAUAACAGUGUUUUCUAUAGCUAGUACAUUUAAUUUGUUUAUUUGAAUUUUUUCGGAAAUUUCAGAUUUGAACUGCAGGUCACUUGAAACUUGGAAAACCGUGCAUGCAAAAAUAAUAUCCAUGCUACAUAGCACAAGUUACGACCGAUUUCAGGAGCGGACCGGAAACUUCGAGCACCAUGCUCACUCAACAUGACCGUGAACUUGCCAUACAGCUGUUUAAAAAAUUUAUAAAACACAAACAAACUUAGAAAAUCAUGAAACUUGUCCACAUGUCAUGAUAUCAUAUGUAGAGUCUGAUAAAAAAUUUAGAAUGUUUGGAGAAAGUUGUGAGACACUAUGUGUAUAAACCUAAGAGAACCACACAUGAAAUCAUAGAGUUUCAAUGUGAAUCUCUUAGGUUUGUACACAUAGUGCGUUACAGCUUUCUCGAAACUUUUUCAAAUUUUUAUCACAGCCUCUACAUAUGAUAUCAUGACACGUGGACAGGGUUCAUGAUUUUCUGACUUUGUUUCUGUUUUAUACAAUUUUUAAACACCUGGAUGGCAAGUUUACGGUCAUGUUGAGUGAGCAUGGUGCUCGAAGUUUUCGGUCCGCUCCUGAAAUCGGUCGUAACUUGUGCUAUGUAGCAUGGAUAUCAUUUUUGCAUUCACGGUUUUCCAAGUUUCGAGUGACCUGCAGUUCAAAUCUGAAUUUUCCGAAGAAAUUCAAAUAAACAAACUAAAUGUACUAGCUAUAGAAAAAACUGUUAUAAUUGUCCCAAAAUGGUACAUGUAGGUCUACAUAGUGUAGAAAUAUACCACAAAAAUUUUGGUGACCAAAAUAAAAAAAUAAAAAUAUGCUUUGCCGAGUGUCUACAGAGGACACUCGGCAAAAACUAUGUUUGCCGAGUGCCAGAUAUUUGACACUCGGCAAAGACUGACGGCCGUCAGUUGUAGACGGCCGCUAACGGCCCUUUGCCGAGAGCCAUGUUUGCCGAGUGCUCGGCUGUGCCGAGUGUCCUACACUCGGUAAACUAGCUCUUUACCGAGCGCAGGACGUUGCCGAGUGCGGCACUCGGCAAAGCCUUCUUUGCCGAGUGCCCGAUAAAAAGCACUCGGCAAAGCCACCGGCACUCGGCAAAGGCGCGAAUUCCGGUAGUGAUAUUCACCAAAUCAAAAGUGUGCAUCCCAUUCUGAGAAGUCGAUACCAUAUUCAUAUCCACUCUGCCAUCGCCCUGUAUCAGGUGAGGGGAUGUCAUAUUCAUAUCAUCGCUUCUGUCCCCAUGUAUCAAAUGUGGAGAUGCCAAGUUCAUAUCAAUUCUAUCACCAUGUAUAAAGUGUGGUGAUGCCAAGUUCAUGUCCACUCUUUCCCUCUGCAUCAAGUGAGGAGAUGACAUGUUCAUGUCAAGUCUUCCCUCUCCAUGAAUAAGGUGGGUCGUUGGCAUUUUCAUCUCAACUCUUCUGUCCCUAUGAAUCAGGGCAUUGGCAUUUGAUGUCAUGGCAUCACCAUGGACUAAUGCUGGCACAUUUGGCGCUAUGUCCGCAUCAACCCUUCUAUCCCCCUGAAUCAGAGCUGAGGUGUGUGACGCCAUGUUCUUAUCAACUCUUGUAUCUGCAGGCACCUGACCAGUCACAGUCAUAUUUACAUCAACCUGUUGAUCACCUUGCUUGCUGUGAUCAGGCCUAAUUAGUCUGUCCUUUGCUUCCUUCAAGGCUGACAACACAAACUCCUUCAGCUCAGGUUCUCUUGCUCCGAUGUCAAUGACAUCUUCAAAAUAUUCGUGGCCACAAAUAUACAAGUCAUCAUAAAUGCCCAGAUCCCUAUCUGAUUCCAUGCGAUUGGUGUUUGCGGAUGAAUUAAGUACCUAAAAUCCUUCCUCCAGCGGUUCAGGAUGUAAUUUGAUGGCAGUAUCAGUACAUUCUCUUGCUUCAGAACAGCCAGACAAAGAAUACCCCUCGAGGGAAAGGAGCGACAAAUGCACCAAACAUCCUUGUCAGAAUUGUUGUAAACAACUGUAUAGUCGACCUUCUUUCCCUGUAUUAACUCACUGACAAUGUAAGUAAUUGAGUUCCCACUUCUGUCUACCUCUUUACAAGUAACAUGCAUCAAUUGCUUAAUCUCAUCUUGGAACGUUUGAAACAUGGUUACUGUGUAGAGCUCCACAAGUUGCUCCUCAAAGGGCAAUCCCGACAACAAAGUGAGUCUAGAAUAGUAUGGCCGCAAAUCGGCAUAUGUUUCUCUUUCCAGCUUCUCUUUCAGAGUAGCCUCGUAUUGCUCAAGGAAAACUGGAAGGGUGGUUUUACUCACAACACUAUCAAAAUAUGGAUCAGUUUUUUCAGCCUUCCUGAUAGCAGAGGUGCCAGCCCAGAAUGAAUGAUUGAUAUACCCAGGUGCCCACUGCUUCCGACAACUGUACAAAGCAGAGAACCACUCAUUGUCUUUGAGAUUGUACUGGUCGACCAUGGCCCCCCACUCUUUUUCGAAGUCAGUAAGAGUGACGCUAUCAUAUACAACCUCCUUGAAGCUUGAGGAAAUUGCCUCUUUCUCAUGUGUGCGAACCACAUUUUCAAGUAGCUUCUUCAAGAUGUGCCAAAAGCAAAAUCGAUGCCUUGCAUUUGGAAACACCUCAGCCACAGCCUCUGAAAUGACAUCUGAAUAGCCGGUCGUGAUUGCCUCUGGGGGUUUGCCAUUCAUACAGCUCAACCACCUCUUCAACAACCAAACAUAGUUCUCCUUGCUGUCACCAGACAGGAGACUACAACCAAGAAGCACAAGGUGACCAUGGUUAUUCACCCCAAGGAGUGUGGCUAAUGGGAGGCUGGCGCAUGAGUGUUGUAAAUACAUCAUGUCAAGUGUAAUGACGUCGCCAAAAUAGCGGUAUUGCGCCUGGGCUCUAGAAUCAGUCCAAAAGAAAUUCUUCACAAGAUUUUCCCGAUCAAGAUCCCAGCUGUGGAUAAAGUUUGGUUUCCUGUGUUGCAUCUUUUCAAUGAACUUCUUGAGUGAAUUGAGGUCAUCCUCCCCGAAAAGCGGCACAAAACUCUCCAACCUACUAAACCUCUGGCUACCAACAGCAGCCCCAACGCUAGCACUCCUCUUGGGUCGUGUCGGGAACUUCCUUGUCUCAGCAAUCUCGCUCAGCGACUUCUCCACCAUUUCAUCCAUCUCAUCUGUAAUAUUGGCCUUCUUCUUUGCUGACUCAGGCAUCUUCCUGUAGGCCUUUAAGAAUCUCACCAUAUCUGGAGUACAAGGAUGGUUAUGCUCCAAGCCGACGGAUUCCACCUUCCACCUUCCAUCCACACGCUUGUCCCGGAUGAUCAACAUCGUCUUACAUCCAGUCUUCUCGGCAGUGCCACGGCGAGACUUCUUCUCCUUGGCAGCCAACCCCCGUUUGCUGCGGAGUGGGUAGCGGGUACCUGGGACGUCAGAGGGGGCAGCGCCCGUCCCAGAUUUGCCGUUGUACAUGCAGGUGAAGGUGGAGCGGUAGCGGAGCCCCUCGCAGUUGUGGCAAGUGCGGCGCACGGCAUGAAACCCCGUGUGGUAGGCGUGGACCUUGUAUAGCGCGAAAGCCUCGUCCACAGAGUCGAACACCACGCCCACCCGCGGCACGAGGGCCUCCUCCAGCGUGUUGGGGACGAAGACGAUGUCCCCGCUGCCACCGUCCUCCUCGUCGUCAGAGGGGAUGACCACUUCAUCGUCCUCCACGACCACCUCUUCGUCUUCCUCCUCCUCCGCAGGGUAUCCGUUGAGGUCGUCGGCAAGCUCCUCCUUGACCUGCCGCGCAUCCUCCCCGUCGGACUCGAGGCUAGGGUUGUGAGCCCCGGUGGACCGCCUCUUCGAACCCGCCCCCAUGCUCUGCCCCUACACUAUUUACACACACCCUCUUGCGCGCGCGUGCGCCACAACACCGCACCCCCGAAAAGAAUUAACACUAGAGGUACAGUGGAACGGAUACCUCGCGGCGCGGAAUGGCGAGGGUUCCGAGAGGGCGACGGUACGGGGGAGCGGGUGAGGUGGCGUGGGGCAGCGUAGCGGCUAAGGGGACGUCGAUCUGGGCGGAGCAGUGGGCGUGGGGACGUCGCCGGGGAAGAGGCUCGGGCUGGUUUGCUUUUGCUUUGGUGGGCGGAGCGGAGAGGAUGUGUGUGCGUGCCUGGGCGGAGGAAUUUGGCAAAAUAGGUCACUCUAGUUUGCCGCUCUGCAAAAU